rnacentral:rRNA from 1 species
UUGCUUGAUGCAGAACCCAAGAAUUCCUUGUGAAAGGUUAGUUUAUAAAUCCGUUAGUAUGCAUCUUUAUUGACGGAUUUUAUGUAGUCUGCGCGCUGCCACGCCCGGGAGGGACGCAGGGGGUCCCGCCUCGCCAAAUAACAGGGUAUUACACAAAGGGGAGGAUCGGCCGAGUCGAAUCAACGGGUAAGGUCCUUGUCGGCCACAGACGGAAGAAUCAUUUUCGAGGUGUUGCCGGCCCGGUCCGAUUUUCCCCCCGGGAAAGUUUCAGACACGGCGGCUGGGGCGUGCGGCGGUCCUCCGCGGCGGCCCCCCUCCCCGGGGGGUGGCCAGCGCCCGCCAGAGGACCAUCAAACUCCAGUCAGUAAACGAUGCAGUCUGAAAAACAUUUAAUAAACUAAAACUUUCAACAACGGAUCUCUUGGUUCUGGCAUCGAUGAAGAACGCAGCGAAAUGCGAUAAGUAAUGUGAAUUGCAGAAUUCAGUGAAUCAUCGAAUCUUUGAACGCACAUUGCGCCCUUUGGUAUUCCGAAGGGCAUGCCUGUUCGAGCGUCAUUACAACCCUCAAGCUCUGCUUGGUAUUGGGCACCGUCCUUUGCGGGCGCGCCUCAAAGACCUCGGCGGUGGCGUCUUGCCUCAAGCGUAGUAGAACAUACAUCUCGCUUCGGAGCGCAGGGCGUCGCCCGCCGGACGAACCUUCUGAACUUUUCUCAAGGUUGACCUCGGAUCAGGUAGGGAUACCCGCUGAACUUAAGCAUAUCAAUAAGCGGAGGA